rnacentral:pre_miRNA from 1 species
UUUGAUGGAUGAACAAAGAAAGUGGUUUCUUGAGAUGGAAUCUACUCCUCAGGAAGAUGCUGUGAA